rnacentral:rRNA from 1 species
GACGUAGGGGACGAGCGUUGUCCGGAUUCAUUGGGCGUAAAGCGCGCGUAGGCGGUUACGCAAGUCGGUUGUGAAAAUCCGGGGCUCAACCCCGGACCUGCAUCCGAUACUGCGUGACUAGAGGUAGGUAGGGGAGAUCGGAAUUCCCGGAGUAGUGGUGAAAUGCGUAGAGAUCGGGAGGAACACCGGUGGCGAAGGCGGCCAGCUGGCGCUGACCUGACGCUGAGGCGCGAAGGCGUGGGGAGCGAACGGG